GACGAACGCUGGCGGCGUGCUUAACACAUGCAAGUCGAACGGAAAGGCCCUGCUUUUGUGGGUCGCUCGAGUGGCGAACGGGUGAGUAACACGUGAGUAACCUGCCCUUGACUUUGGGAUAACUUCAGGAAACUGGGGCUAAUACCGGAUAGGAGCUCCUGCUGCAUGGUGGGGGUUGGAAAGUUUCGGCGGUUGGGGAUGGACUGGCGGCUUACCAGCUGGUUGGUGGGGUAGUGGCUUACCAAGGCUUUGACGGGUAGCCGGCCUGAGAGGGUGACCGGCCACAUUGGGACUGAGAUACGGCCCAGACUCCUACGGGAGGCAGCAGUGGGGAAUAUUGCACAAUGGGCGGAAGCCUGAUGCAGCAACGCCGCGUGCGGGAUGACGGCCUUCGGGUUGUAAACCGCUUUCGCCUGUGACGAAGCGUGAGUGACGGUAAUGGGUAAAGAAGCACCGGCUAACUACGUG
rnacentral:rRNA from 1 species